CAAGCUUGCUUCACCAAUCCAGAUGGUAUCAGAGCAGGAAGAAUAGAAAUUCCCAAACUAAAAAACCAUAAUUGAAACAAUUUCUUGUGAUAUUAGAUUUGCAUCUGUUGAUAAGGGAUGGAAGAGGUGAACAAUACCAGGAAGAGAGACCGAAAGUUGGUGAGAACUCGAGAUGAAGAUACUAGCAGAGUCAAUAGCGAAGCUGCGAGGAACAGAGAUCGAGAGUUGAUGAGAACUCGAGAUCAAGAUACUGGCAGAGUCAAUAGCGAACCUCUGGGGAAUUUUGCAGGUCAAGGCUCAAAUGGACAGAGUCUUUCUGAUGAAGAUCCACUGUGUUUGCAUAGCUCUGAUCAUCCUGGCAUGGUGCCCGUUACUGCACCUCUUAUAUAUGAUGAGAGCAAAACGCCAAUGGUCUAUCAAAUUCAAAGGCAAAUUGCCUCAAUUUCCCAAGAAAACAUGUCUGUCACUGUUUACUAUACUAAACUCAAGAAGCUGUGGGAUGAGUUGAACUCCAUAGAUCCAAUUCCGUCUUGUACUUGUGGAACAGCGAAGUAUAUUUCGGAUUUAUUCAAUCGCAAUAAGGUCAUGCAGUUUCUUAUGGGCCUAAACGAGGGUUAUGAUCAAGCAAGAAAUCAGAUUCUUCUUCUUGAUCCUCUUCCCAACAUAAACGAAGUUUAUUCGAUGAUUCUGAAAGUGGAGUCACAGAGGCAGGGGUUUAAUGACUUUUCUGAAAGUGCAGGUUCAGUUUCAACGAUGGUUAAACCUGCUGGUAUUUAUAUAAUUCCUAGUAAAAGAGACAGGGAGUUGACACGAAAAGAAAAGGGGCACUGUGAUUAUUGUAAUAUGGAUGGGCAUAAAAGGGAGAGUUGUUUCAAACUGACAGGAUAUCCAGAGUGGUACUCAAAGGAUCGUAACAAGACUCAACCAAAAAUGGCAGCUAAAGUUUCAACAACUUUUCAUGGUUCUAAUUUUGGAAGUGAAACACCACUUGAUGAUCAUAUUGAUAAUAUUGAUUCUUCUUUGAUCAACACUGGAUAUGAAGAGAAAGAAUCAGCCUUGGCUACUUUGAAGCAGCAAAUGAUGAAACUAUUGCAAGGAAAAGGAAUUGAGUCCCAGUCUCAACUUGCUGCCACCAAUUUGACUGAGGACAUCAGUUCAUCUGCCAUUUUGAGUUCAAUCAAGAUUUUAAGCUACAAUGUUUGGUUUCGUGAGGAUCUGGAGUUGAAUGAGAGGAUGAAAGCUCUUGGUGACCUUAUU
rnacentral:misc_RNA from 1 species